GGAGCUGUGGCGUAAUGGUAGCGCAUGUGAUUCCAGUCCACAAGGUUGUCGGUUCAAAUCCGGUCAGCUUCA